CACAUAGGGUGCGAGCGUUGUCCGGAAUUAUUGGGCGUAAAGAGCUCGUAGGCGGUGUGUCGCGUCGGCCGUGAAAACCUGCAGCUUAACUGUGGGCUUGCGGUCGAUACGGGCAUCACUGGAGUUCGGCAGGGGAGACUGGAAUUCCUGGUGUAGCGGUGAAAUGCGCAGAUAUCAGGAGGAACACCGGUGGCGAAGGCGGGUCUCUGGGCCGAUACUGACGCUGAGGAGCGAAAGCGUGGGGAGCGAACAGG
rnacentral:rRNA from 1 species